CCAGAUCAAUGUGAAUUUCAGAUAAAUCACAGACAAAUUUUAGUAUGAGUAUAUCCCAUGCAAUAUUUGGGAAAUACUUAUACUAAAAAUUUGUGCUUUUCUUCUCUGAAAUUCAAAUUUAACUGGAUGCCCUGCA
rnacentral:miRNA from 1 species